UACGAAGGGGGCUAGCGUUGUUCGGAAUUACUGGGCGUAAAGCGCACGUAGGCGGGUUGUUAAGUCAGGGGUGAAAUCCUGGAGCUCAACUCCAGAACUGCCUUUGAUACUGGCAACCUAGAGACUGGAAGAGGUUAGUGGAAUUCCUAGUGUAGAGGUGAAAUUCGUAGAUAUUAGGAAGAACACCAGUGGCGAAGGCGGCUCACUGGCCCGGUACUGACGCUCAUGUGCGAAAGCGUGGGGAGCAAACAGG
rnacentral:rRNA from 1 species